AAUAAAGAGUAUUAGAGGUACCCGAACAACAUCUCCAGUUUCACAAGAAAGUGGAAUGUAUUGUAUAGCUGAUUCAAUUUAAGAAAGAAAAAAAGAAGCACCAAUAAAUUAAUGGUGGAAGCACAAAAGUUACGCGAAAAACCAAGUGGGACAUGGUCAGAAAUUUGGGAAAACAAUAAAUGCAUACAAGAAUAAGUGCAUUAAGCUUGAGGUAUCUAAAAUUAUUGAGUUUCACUUAGCCGAUUACGCAGGCCACUACGAGCAAAGGUUUAGAUCUUGUUCUGCGUUUCAAUUUUGCUCAUUACUUUUCAAGGUUUAGGCUCUCUAUUUCCGGUUAGGAUUUCUACUGAAUUCCAAAUUUAUGGUCUGUUUAUCCAUAGGCGACUUACCUAAUUUCGCAGUUUCUGCCCUUUCAGUUCCACCGGCCCCCUCCUCUCCUUCUGAUAGUUAUAGUCGUCGAGCCAAGGGGCGAUAUGAAGAACGCACACUCAUUAAUUUUUGACGUGCUAUAACCGGAAAUAUUUGACCAUUUAGUUUAAUUUUUGACGUGCUAUCUAAUUUAGCUUCCGAAGUCUUUAUUCGACAAAGGACAAGUACACUUGCCCAGUUGCCCUAACUGUGGACAUAGAUUCACCGAGGGUUGAGACAACCAUUUUCAGCAUUAUCAGGACGAUUAAGAAAAAGAAAAAUGUUUAGGUCGCUCAUGUUCUUCGUAUCAUAGUCUUUGGGCAAACGACAAGAUUUUGUGUAAAUGCCAAUCUUUAAUUUCAUUUUA